rnacentral:lncRNA from 12 species
CAAUUAUUGGGUGAGCAACUGAGAGAUACAUCAGUUGUGAUCUAGUUAGAAUCUCAUCCAGCUCCUUGAUGAGAAAGAUUUAAUUUGGCUGCAGCAAGAGUUAGCUCAGCUACUCAAGAGACUGAUUUUCAAUUUGUUUUUGUGGAGGUGGGUUGGUGUGCACAGGACUAGAGCCUUAAGAAGGGGUGAGGAGGCUGUUCACAGGUGAUCCUCAUGGGCACAGCAAUGAGUUUGGAAUGAAAGCUGCUGAGCAAAGCAGUUGGCCAGUGAAUCCAUGCAUUACACUUGGUGCAAAUGAACCAGCAGUUUCUUGCAGAAGCAACCGAAGGGGAUGCACUCCUUUUCCUCUCUGUGGGAUCCCUCCUGAGCUGAUUGGCACAGUCAGGACCCUGGAGUGCUCUGCCCAUACAAACAUCUCUGCCAGGCUUUGACAGACAGACAUUUUUUGACUCAGAAGUACGAGGAACAGCUUUCCUGACACCUGCAGAGUGGAUCAUGCAGAAGAGCACAAUUUUCACAGCUGGAUGUUGGCCAAAGCACCAAGGUUUGUGUUACAGUGUGGUGGUGAUGGUUAAAAUAG